rnacentral:lncRNA from 1 species
UGAUAUUGAAGUCCCUCUCACUGGGUAUACAACCUCCACUGUGGGCAUGGGAGUUCAUGCUGACACCAACACCCUCCAGGCAGGCUGAAGCACCGGCCAUAUGCUGUUUUACACAUGGAAGUGCUUCUGGAAAUAGUCCUUUCGAUUACAUCUCAAACACCCCAAGGAAGCUGAUUUUUCCAGGCUUGCAGUGGCUUCUGGUUUAAAACGACAUCUGGCAAAAAGCUUCUCACCAAGAGUUUGGACGGCACUAAGCAGGAAGAAAAUUCAUGCUACCACCAAGAACUGGAUUUGAUUAUCAACAUUUUCUAGAAUCUGGGGGAUUUUACCUCUCCAUUAUGUUUUACUAAGGCAUGGUCAUUUGACCUCCUCUGGCUAAUGGGAGGUGGGCAGAGUGAUAUGCACCGCUUUUGAUUGAAAGCCUUAGGAGUGAGCAUGUGACCGCUAUGUCAUCUAUAUCAUAGAGCCACCAUGAUGGCCAGAGAGAACCUGCCCUGUUAACUUGGGUUCCAAGGUGACAAUGACAUGGAACAGUGCCUCAGGUGAUUAGGAAUAGAUGAGUAACAUGGGAAGAGAUAUCCACACUGUAUACAUUAAUCCCCAUUAAUCAUCAACAUCAUCUGCUCCUGACAUCCAACCAUCAAUAUCCUCAUGGCCCAAGGACCCAGAAUCACCCAGGGCAGAUGAUCCUUCUUCUGACUGAGCAUCAGAAAGUCAACUGUAGCCUAACACAACAUCACAAUGCCUACAUCAUUCACCUCAUUUUAUCUCAUCACAGAGGUAUCUCACAUCAGCACAAGAAGAAAGGUUUAUUUCUGCCUCACACAACAUGACCAGUGAGAAAGUGGAAGGUGUCCUUCACCACCCCAGUCACUCAGGGACUGGCGCUGACAGUGGAUACAUCAUCCAUAAUGGAUCCCAGCAGCAAGGGAAAUAUAGCUGGAAGUGGAGUGCUGGUUCCUCUAUUCUUUGGUUAACUGACACAACUUAUUUCCACUCACAGCCAUUGGCUGAAACUUGUCACAGGGCUGUGCCUAACUGUG